rnacentral:lncRNA from 1 species
UAUGUUCAACAAGAAUGUGUCCUCAGUACACGAAUGCCCCACUCGCACUAUCAUUUUCUAUGUUCAGUGGACCGUGAAAUUGGGGUAAAAUCUCUAAUUUGGCAUUAAAAUUAGAAAGAUCAUAUCAUAGGGAACAUGUGUACCAAGUUUGAAGUCGAUUGGACUUCAACUUCAUCAAAAACCAGCUCGACCAAAAACUUUAACCUGAAGCGGGACAGACGGACGAACGAACGAACGAACGGACGGACGGACGAACGAACGAACGGACGCACAGACCAGAAAACAUAAUGCCCCUCUACUAUCGUAGGUGGGGCAUAAAAAUAUAAU